rnacentral:rRNA from 1 species
UACGUAGGCAGCAAGCGUUGUUCGGAAUUACUGGGCGUAAAGAGUGUGUAGGCGGUGCUCUAAGUUCGUUGUGAAAUCUCCCGGCUUAACUGGGAGGGUGCGGCGGAAACUGGAGUGCUUGAGCGCGGGAGAGGAAAGCGGAAUUCCUGGUGUAGCGGUGAAAUGCGUAGAUAUCAGGAGGAACACCUGUGGUGUAGACAGCUUUCUGGACCGUAGCUGACGCUGAGACACGAAAGCGUGGGUAGCAAAC